rnacentral:rRNA from 1 species
CCUACGGGAGGCAGCAGUAGGGAAUAUUGCUCAAUGGGGGAAACCCUGAAGCAGCAACGCCGCGUGGAGGAUGAAGGUUUUAGGAGUGGAAACUCCUUUUGUUAGAGAAGAUAAGGACGGUAUCUAACGAAUAAGCACCGGCUAAUUCCGUGCCAGCAGCCGCGGUAAUACGGAGGGUGCAAGCGUUACCCGGAAUCACUGGGCGUAAAGAGCGCGUAGGGGGGUUAGCAAGUCAGAUGUGAAAUCCUAUGGCUUAACCAUAGAACUGCAUUUGAAACUGUUAUUCUUGAGUAUAGGUGAGGUAGGUGGAAUUCUUGGUGUAGGGGUAAAAUCCGUAGAGAUCACGAGGAAUACUCAUUGCGAAGGCGACCUGCUAAAACACCACUGACAUUGAUGCGCGAAAGCGUGGGUAGCAAACAGGAUUAGAUACCCCAGUAGUC